rnacentral:rRNA from 1 species
UACCAGCACCCCGAGUGGUCGGGACGAUUAUUGGGCCUAAAGCAUCCGUAGCCGGUCCUACAAGUCUUCCGUUAAAUCCACCUGCUUAACAGAUGGGCUGCGGAAGAUACUAUAGGGCUAGGAGGCGGGAGAGGCAAGCGGUACUCAGUGGGUAGGGGUAAAAUCCUCUGAUCCAUUGAAGACCACCAGUGGCGAAGGCGGCUUGCCAGAACGCGCUCGACGGUGAGGGAUGAAAGCUGGGGGAGCAA